rnacentral:rRNA from 1 species
AGCAGUAGCCGCGGGAAUACGUAGGUGGCAAGCGUUGUCCGGAAUUAUUGGGCGUAAAGGGCUCGCAGGCGGUUUCUUAAGUCUGAUGUGAAAGCCCCCGGCUCAACCGGGGAGGGUCAUUGGAAACUGGGAAACUUGAGUGCAGAAGAGGAGAGUGGAAUUCCACGUGUAGCGGUGAAAUGCGUAGAGAUGUGGAGGAACACCAGUGGCGAAGGCGACUCUCUGGUCUGUAACUGACGCUGAGGAGCGAAAGCGUGGGGAGCAAAUGGGAUUAGAUACCCGCGUAGUCCCUGUCUCUUAUAC